rnacentral:tRNA from 1 species
GCGGGCGUGGCGGAACUGGUAGACGCAGCAGGUUUAGGUCCUGCCAUCGCAAGAUGGGGGGGUUCGAGUCCCUUCGCCCGCACCA